GACGAACGCUGGCGGCGUGCUUAACACAUGCAAGUCGAACGGAAAGGCCCUGCUUUUGUGGGGUGCUCGAGUGGCGAACGGGUGAGUAACACGUGAGUAACCUGCCCUUGACUUUGGGAUAACUUCAGGAAACUGGGGCUAAUACCGGAUAGGAGCUCCUGCUGCAUGGUGGGGGUUGGAAAGUUUCGGCGGUUGGGGAUGGACUCGCGGCUUAUCAGCUUGUUGGUGGGGUAGUGGCUUACCAAGGCUUUGACGGGUAGCCGGCCUGAGAGGGUGACCGGCCAAAUGGGGACUGAGAGACGGCCCAGACUCCUAAGGGAGGCAGAAGGGGGGAAUAUUGCAAAAUGGGCGGAAGCCGGAUGCAGAAACGCCGGGGGCGGGAUGACGGCCUUCGGGUUGUAAACCGCUUUCGCCUGUGACGAAGCGUGAGUGACGGUAAUGGGUAAAGAAGCACCGGCUAACUACGUG
rnacentral:rRNA from 1 species